ACAAAUCAAACUAUUCCUCAAACCAACGUUGUUCAAAGACAACAAACAGCAGCAAUGUGAAUUACCAGGUUUUUUUGCUGCUUGCUGUUACAGAUUAAACAACAAAACCGAAACUCUUGAGCAUACCAGAAACUAAGAACUUACCAGACAC